rnacentral:rRNA from 1 species
UUGCAGGCUGCAACUCGCCUGUAUGAAGUUGGAAUUGCUAGUAAUCGCGGAUCAGCAUGCCGCGGUGAAUACGUUCCCGGGCCUUGUACACACCGCCCGUCACACCAUGAGAGCCGGUAAUACCCGAAGUCAGUAUCCUAACCGCAAGGAGGGAGCUGCCGAAGGUAGGAUUGGCGAUUGGGGUGAAGUCGUAACAAGGUAUC